AUUUAUAUAGUUUAACAAAACAUUACAUUUUCAUUGUAAAAAUAAAGUAUAACUUUUAUAAAUA
rnacentral:tRNA from 1 species